CCUACGGGAGGCAGCAGUGGGGAAUAUUGGACAAUGGGGGGAACCCUGAUCCAGCGACGCCGCGUGAGUGAAGAAGUAUUUCGGUAUGUAAAGCUCUAUCAGCAGGGAAGAAAGAAAUGACGGUACCUGACUAAGAAGCCCCGGCUAACUACGUGCAAGCAGCAGCGGUAAUACGGAGGGGGCAAUCGUUAUCCGGAUUUACUGGGUGUAAAGGGAGCGUAGACGGCGAUGCAAGUCUGAAGUGAAAGGCGGGGGCGCAACCCCCGGACUGCUUUGGAAACUGUAUGGCUGGAGUGCAGGAGAGGUAAGUGGAAUUCCUAGUGUAGCGGUGAAAUGCGUAGAUAUUAGGAGGAACACCAGUGGCGAAGGCAGCUUACUGAACUGUAACUGACGUUGAGGCUCGAAAGCGUGGGGAGCAAACAGGAUUAGAUACCCCUGUAGUC
rnacentral:rRNA from 1 species